UCCAAAUUUCCCCGCGGCCCAAUGAGCGACCGCAGCUCCUCCCAGCAACCAAUCGCAGGCGGCCCCGGCCUUGCGCAGAGCCGCGCGCCGUCGCUCCGCCUCCCGCCCGCGGCGCUCGGUGCUGCUGCCCGGCCCAGCCGAGCCGAGCUCCGCCGCCAGCCCCGCAGGGAGCGGGACAGGAACGCUGCUGGCUCCAACCCGCCUCCCGCCCUGGCAGGCGCCUCCUCGGAAAAGUAGGUCGGUGAAAUCACGCAGAAAUUAAAACCUGCCCCACGCCGGCGCUGGCAAGCGGAAAGGUCACUGCCAAGGAAGCGGAGGAGCCGUGCUGACAGUUCCCUGCUACGGUCACUAAGAGGUGUGGCGGUCGCAUCCGUGCUGUUAGGAAUCGCGCUGAUUCAGAGCAACGAAAGGAACCUCCACGCCCCAGAAAGCUUAAUCAAGGGACAGCGCAUCCUGAGUCCUGUGGUGCUUCAAUCAAAUGCCAGUUUAGAAGGAGGAGAAAGGAUUUGAGAGAAGCAAAGCUCCUGAGCAUCCGUGCAGGCUGGGGUUGCGGUGUAGCUGGUUUGCUGUCUACUGUGUCUCUACCAGAAGGCAGGAGCAGAUUUGCAUGGAGGGCUACUGAGCCCAGAGCUCCACAGGCCACCCUGGAGCACUUGUUUAGUAGAGCACUCUUUGGUGUUUUCCUCAGAGAAGCCCAGGAAAGCUAUGGCCAUGGCCAGAGUUGGCUCAACAUGGUUGCCCUUGCCCCUCCUUGCAAGUUAUUGACCCUGUCCUUUCUCUCCCGUAUCCUAUAAAAGCUUCAUGUGAAGAGCUGGGUAUUUCAUUAACUUCCCAACACCCCAAACCUGAUCUAGGAGUUCCUCCAUCCUUUUUUUUCCCUGGACCUAUUCAGCUAUCCCAGCUGUCCCAGCUACUCAGUGAGCCUGCAAGAGUUCAGCUCGUGCAUGGAGUGAUGGGGGUGAGGCCAUGCAAGCCUUCCUCCCAGCAGGGACUCAGACAACAAGCCCACAAGACAAUUUGGGAAGAUUUUUGCCUCUCUGUGGAUCAUCUGGUCUGUAAGCCACUCAGUGUGAAUGGAAAACUGCAUCCUUAGGUCGGCCUAAGAUGCUGGACCAGGACAGAGGUCUUUUCUUGAUUUAUCAGUCCCUGAGUAUUUUCUGAGUUUGGCAGCAAGAAGGAAGCUGGAAACAGCCCAAGCCAAGGCUACAGCCCAAACUCUUAUCUCUGAGCAGCUGCAGUGGUUGAAUAAAAAGAUGAGAAUGGGUCUCUCCACCUCUGACUCUCUGAAUUAGCAGGGAAAAGCAGGGAAAACACUAAAUUAGUUAUCAGUGCACCAGUCAUUAAACAAAAUUUUUGGUAUUUUCUAGUUUUCUUGGACAGCAUAAAGCAUUUCUGCACUUAUUCUGCUGCCAGAAGAUUCCAUCCAAAUGGUGAAUCCACACAUGCAACUAUUUGUGCCUCAGUCUCAAAAUCAGAGCUUUCUGUGCUUAAAAGAUUUCUUACCAAAAUGAUGUGUGCUGUUCUACUUCAGUAAUCACAGCUUCCUAGCCUGGCUUAGGUGCUGAACUUAAGGUGUGGUUUGUGGGUACGGGGGUACAGGGAACAAAAAGACCACAGGGAUAGAUUUAGUGGCUUAAGGGCUGCCAAAGAAGUCAAAUCUUGUGCAUUUCCAGUCCUACCUGGAGGCAGGUCCCAGCUGAUCCCAUCUCCAUGCUGUGGGAGUUGAGUACUCUCCAUCCAGGUUCUUUCAGAUAUUACAUGAGAAGGGUUUAAUGUUCAACUUUAAAUUUUCCUAGUGAGCAUAUUUGAUGUUAGAUUGUAUUUUUAAUGAGCAGAAGGAUA